CUACCACAUCCAAGGAAGGCAGCAGGCGCGCAAAUUACCCACUCCCGGCACGGGGAGGUAGUGACGAAAAAUAACGAUACGGGACUCUUUUGAGACCCCGUAAUCGGAAUGAGCGCGCUCCAAACCCUCACGCGAGGACCCAUUGGAGGGCAAGUCUGGUGCCAGCCGCCGCGGUAACUCCAGCUCCAAUAGCGUAUAUUAAAGUUGUUGCGGUUAAAAAGCUCGUAGUUGGAUCUCAGCUCAGGACGCGGGGUCCUCCAUCCGGAGGCAACCUCGCGCUCCGAGCAGUGCAGCCGGCUCCCGUCGGUGAUCUUAACCGGUUGCCGGGGGGUGGCCGGCGAGUUUACUUUGAAAAAAUUAGAGUGCUCAGAGCAGGCCUCCCAAGCCUGGAUAAUGGCGCAUGGAAUAAUGGAAUAGGACCUCGGUUCUAUUUUGUUGGUUUUAGGAUCACGAGGUAAUGAUUAAGAGGGACAGACGGGGGCAUUCGUAUUGCGGCGCUAGAGGUGAAAUUCUUGGACCGCCGCAAGACGAACCACUGCGAAAGCAUUUGCCAAGAAUGUUUCCAUUAAUCAAGAACGAAAGUCAGAGGUUCGAAGGCGAUCAGAUACCGCCCUAGUUCUGACCAUAAACGAUGCCAGCCAGCGAUCCGGCUGCGUUCCUCAAAUGACGCGCCGGGCAGCUUCCGGGAAACCAAAGCCUUUGGGUUCCGGGGGAAGUAUGGUU
rnacentral:rRNA from 1 species